AUGCUUUUAACAAUGCUUUGUCAGGCCGUUCCUGCCGAUGCUGCUGUUCAUGCCGUCCCCCCAGUGCUUAGCAUCACCGGCAACAAUUUCAGCGCUGUCCGACAAGGUGCUCUACAGGGACAACCUCCGUCGACCUGUCAUCGAACUUCAGUAUGUGUGCUUUGUUCUCUGAAACUGAAUUCAGACCUUGAGCACUACUUUUAUUUGAAAGAAAAUAUGUGCGUGAUUCCUAGCAUAGCUUGGUAUACACGAAUUGCAAUCUGGACGUUUUUCUCUGUGUCGUCGUCCUGCCUUCUGGUUCUCUGUUAUCUGUCAUCUUAUAUCUCUGAGUUGUUGGCUGCAUGCGCAGCUGCUUUAGGUGGGAGCAGUGACUAG
rnacentral:rRNA from 1 species